rnacentral:rRNA from 1 species
UACGUAGGGACCGAGCGUUGUCCGGAAUCAUUGGGCGUAAAGAGCGUGUAGGCGGCCACUUAAGUCCUGCGUGAAAUCUUGCGGCUCAACCGCAAGCGGUCGUGGGAAACUGGGUGGCUAGAGUGUGGCAGAGGGAGGUGGAAUUCCACGUGUAGCAGUGAAAUGCGUAGAGAUGUGGAGGAACACCGAUGGCGAAGGCAGCCUCCUGGGCCAGCACUGACGCUCAUGCACGAAAGCGUGGGGAGCAAACAGG